GGUUAAGCGACUAAGCGUACACGGUGGAUGCCCUGGCAGUCAGAGGCGAUGAAGGACGUGCUAAUCUGCGAUAAGCGUCGGUAAGGUGAUAUGAACCGUUAUAACCGGCGAUUUCCGAAUGGGGAAACCCAGUGUGUUUCGACACACUAUCAUUAACUGAAUCCAUAGGUUAAUGAGGCGAACCGGGGGAACUGAAACAUCUAAGUACCCCGAGGAAAAGAAAUCAACCGAGAUUCCCCCAGUAGCGGCGAGCGAACGGGGAGCAGCCCAGAGCCUGAAUCAGUGUGUGUGUUAGUGGAAGCGUCUGGAAAGGCGCGCGAUACAGGGUGACAGCCCCGUACACAAAAAUGCACAUGCUGUGAGCUCGAUGAGUAGGGCGGGACACGUGGUAUCCUGUCUGAAUAUGGGGGGACCAUCCUCCAAGGCUAAAUACUCCUGACUGACCGAUAGUGAACCAGUACCGUGAGGGAAAGGCGAAAAGAACCCCGGCGAGGGGAGUGAAAAAGAACCUGAAACCGUGUACGUACAAGCAGUGGGAGCACGCUUCGGCGUGUGACUGCGUACCUUUUGUAUAAUGGGUCAGCGACUUAUAUUCUGUAGCAAGGUUAACCGAAUAGGGGAGCCGAAGGGAAACCGAGUCUUAACUGGGCGUUAAGUUGCAGGGUAUAGACCCGAAACCCGGUGAUCUAGCCAUGGGCAGGUUGAAGGUUGGGUAACACUAACUGGAGGACCGAACCGACUAAUGUUGAAAAAUUAGCGGAUGACUUGUGGCUGGGGGUGAAAGGCCAAUCAAACCGGGAGAUAGCUGGUUCUCCCCGAAAGCUAUUUAGGUAGCGCCUCGUGAAUUCAUCUCCGGGGGUAGAGCACUGUUUCGGCAAGGGGGUCAUCCCGACUUACCAACCCGAUGCAAACUGCGAAUACCGGAGAAUGUUAUCACGGGAGACACACGGCGGGUGCUAACGUCCGUCGUGAAGAGGGAAACAACCCAGACCGCCAGCUAAGGUCCCAAAGUCAUGGUUAAGUGGGAAACGAUGUGGGAAGGCCCAGACAGCCAGGAUGUUGGCUUAGAAGCAGCCAUCAUUUAAAGAAAGCGUAAUAGCUCACUGGUCGAGUCGGCCUGCGCGGAAGAUGUAACGGGGCUAAACCAUGCACCGAAGCUGCGGCAGCGACGCUUAUGCGUUGUUGGGUAGGGGAGCGUUCUGUAAGCCUGUGAAGGUGUGCUGUGAGGCAUGCUGGAGGUAUCAGAAGUGCGAAUGCUGACAUAAGUAACGAUAAAGCGGGUGAAAAGCCCGCUCGCCGGAAGACCAAGGGUUCCUGUCCAACGUUAAUCGGGGCAGGGUGAGUCGACCCCUAAGGCGAGGCCGAAAGGCGUAGUCGAUGGGAAACAGGUUAAUAUUCCUGUACUUGGUGUUACUGCGAAGGGGGGA
rnacentral:rRNA from 1 species